CAGCGCCACGAGUGGCAAUCACGUUUAUUGGGCCUAAAGCGUCCGUAGCCGGUUUAGCAAAUCUUUUGUGAAAUCGUCAGGCUUAACUUGACGGAUUGCAGAAGACACUACUCAACUAGGGACCGGGAGGAGUCAGAAGUAUUCCAGGGGGAUCGGUAAAAUGAUAUAAUCCCUGGAGGACUACCGAUGGCGAAGGCAUCUGACCAGAACGGAUCCGACGGUGAGGGACGAAAGCCAGGGGAGCAAACCGGAUUAGAUACCCGCGUAGUCC
rnacentral:rRNA from 1 species